CCCUUAGAUGUCCUGGGCCGCACGCGCGCUACACUGAUGCAUUCAACGAGUAUUUCCUUGGCCGAGAGGCCUGGGCAAUCUUUUAAACCUGCAUCGUGAUAGGGAUAGAUUAUUGCAAUUAUUAAUCUUGAACGAGGAAUUCCUAGUAAACGCAAAUCAUCAAUUUGCAUUGAUUACGUCCCUGCCCUUUGUACACACCGCCCGUCGCACCUACCGAUUGAAUGGUCCGGUGAAAUCUCGGGAUUGUGGCCAGUUCACUUUAUUGGGAGUUGGCUGCGAGAACUUGCUUAAACCUUAUCAUUUAGAGGAAGGUGAAGUCGUAACA
rnacentral:rRNA from 1 species